UUUGUGAAGCAUGGUAUGAAAAAAAUCCUUGGUUGGAAUAUAGCGUGGAAAAGAAUGCAAUCUAUUGCUUUUAUUGUUUUCUUUUUAGACAAGAUCCGGUGGAUGAAAAAUUUGGUCAUACUACCUUCACCAAAGAUGGCUACAGUACUUGGAAGAAUGCAUACAAGGCAUUUCCUCUUCAUGUUGGUGGCCCCAGGAGUAUCCACAAUCAAUCAAGGACAGCAUAUGAAGAUUUUAAAAAUCAAAGCUCAAGUCUGAAGCGUAAGGUUACAGUCUAUAACAAAGAAUCAUUAAUCAAGUAUGAGACCCGUUUGGAAACAUCUUUGGGGAUUGUAAGUUUUCUUGCAUUGCAAGGUGAACCAUUUCGUGGACACAAUGAAUCUGCCCUUUCCUUAAAUAAGGAUAAUUUUCUAGAGAUGCUUGAUUGGUACAAAGCAAGAAAGGAGGAAGUGAGAAUUGCGUUUGAUGAGCUAUGCCCAGGAAAUGCACAAAUGAUUUCUUCAACAAUUCAAAAAGCACUUGCCAAAAGUUGUGCAGAUGGGGUCCGAAGAGCAAUAAAACAAGAGAUGGGGGAUAAUCUUUAUUCGGUUCUUAUUGAUGAAUCUCGUGAUAUAUCAAUAAAAGAACAAAUGGCCUUGGUUGUGAGGUAUAUGAGCAAGGGAGAAGUUAUUGAAAGAUUUUUGGGUAUCAAGCAUGUCAAGGAGACAACAGCAGAAGCACUAAAGAAAGCAUUGGUUGAGGUUCUUGGUAAGAAUGGGCUACUUAUUGCAAAUUUACGAGGGCAAGGGUAUGAUGGAGCAUCUAAUAUGAGGGGAGAGUUCAAUAGUGUUCAAAAACUUGUCCGAGAUGAAAACCCAUAUGCUUUCUAUAUGCAUUGUUUCGCCCAUCGAUUGCAGCUAGUAGUUGUUGCUGUCUCAAGAUGUUGUUCUUCCAUUGAGGAUUUCUUUGAAUAUGUGGCCUUGAUUAUGAACGCCGCUGGUUCGUCUUGCAAGAGGAAGGAUAUAUUGCUUGAUAAGCAACGCAUAAAUCUGUUGGCUAAGUUAGAGAGUGGAGAAAUUUUCUCAGGAAGAGGGAAAAACCAGGAAACAUCAUUGGCUAGACCAGGAGAUACAAGAUGGGGCUCUCAUUAUAAAACACUAGUUCGUAUAGAAUCGAUGUGGGAUGCAGUUAUACAAGUGUUAGCUAUUGUGCAUGAGGAUGAGCGUAAUCCAUCUAGGGCAGGAGGUUUGGUGCAGAUAAUGAAGUCUUUUAGCUUUGUGUUCAUCAUGAAAUUGAUGUUGCAAAUCCUUCGCAUUACAAAUCAGUUGUCACUUCUCCUGCAACGGAAGGAUCAGAAUAUUGUUCAAGCCAUGUCUUUGGUUAUAGAUGUGAGGUCUUCCUUGGCCAACUUGAGGAACCAUGGUUGGGAACCACUCUUUGAAGAUGUCAAGAUCUUUUGUGAUGUUAAUGAUAUUCCGGUUCCAAAUAUGGAUGAAGCUGUACCGAGAUUCGGCCGAUCAAGAAAAGGAGGGAGAAAUAAUGUUACUCAAGAACAUUUUUUUCGUGUUGAUACCUUCUAUGCAGCAAUAGAUGCUAUCACCACAGAGCUGGAUCAUCGCUUUAAUGACAUGGCUUCAGAACUGCUAUGUGGAUUUGCUUGUCUUGACCCAAGAGACUCAUUUUCCAAGUUUGAUUUGGACAAAGUUGCUAAGCUUACAGACAUCUAUGAUGCAGAUUUCUCCAAUGAUGACCGUAAGCGUAUGAAAACCGAGCUCCAGUUGUUCAUCAACCACAUGAGAAGACAUGAUGACUUUAGAGUUUGUUAUGAUCUUGCAAGCCUAGCCAAGAAAAUGUUUGAACUUGAAAGAAAUAUUAUGUUCCCUCUGGUUUAUCGCCUUAUUGAGUUGGGGUUGCUUCUACCGGUGGCAACGGCAUCGGUUGAAAGGGCCUUCUCAGCAAUGAAGAUCAUCAAGACCGAUUUGCGCAGCAAGAUGUCCAAUGGUUGGCUUGAUGACUUAAUGGUGUGCUACAUUGAGAGAGAGAUAUUUAAAGGACUUGAUCUUGCUGAAAUUAAGAAAGAAUUUCAACAUGAAGGUAGAAGAAUGCCAUUGCCACGUUCUAUUUAAUGAGAGUAAAUCUUCAUUAUGGGUCAUCUUUAUACCGGUCUAGGUAAUAUAAAUGGUUUUUUUGGCACUAAUCAUCCAUGUAAUCUUCAUCAGCUAAGGACUGCAGGACUAGAAACCUCUGAAUGACCACCGCGCUCCAGCCUACUGAAGAAAAGAGUUUGCACCUCGUUGAAGAUGGAGUUCAGACCAUGCUCCCAGUCUGGAUCACAACCGGUGUUUGGCAGCCUAUCUUUAUCAGCCCUCGUGGUGUCAGUCAUUACAAGGUGGAUAGCCCAGCAGUGCCGUGAGCAGCGAUGUGAACCGCGCAGAGAAGAAGAAGCGUAUAAGGAAGAACAAGAUCACACAGGAGGAACUGUAGUUUUCAACUAUUUGGGUGUAAUACUAGGCUUCACAGUUCUCUCUAGCCUACUUGCAUACAAGCUGAGAUUCCGACAAUAAAGCUAAAUAUUUCUCUGUACCCCUAUUGGUGAUGUGUAACUUCUCAUCUUAUUGCAAAACUGUGCCGGUACUCUUGUGCAAUUUGGAAAGAUUUCUAGAAAUGGUGCAUACAUAUAUCCAUACAACUGUAUCUGACUGCAGAGUGCAGACAUCAUAUUAUGGUAUGCUCUGGACUGGUCUUUUCUCUGUCUUCUCAAGGACUGCAGGACUAGAAACUUCUGAAUGACCACCGCGCUCCAGCCUAUUGAAGAAAAGAGGUACACUAGACACAUUUUCUUCAAAUAGUGGCCCAGAGUUUUUUCCUUAUAUAGUUUCAGUGUUUAGUUCUUGAAUACAUUCAGGUCUUAAGUAUACAUUUAGUAAAUAUCAGAGUCGAUAUCUACUGUAUUGAAGAACUGAAGGUACAAUGUCUGUAGUAAAGCAUGUAUGAUCAUAGGCAAAGGUGGCAACAUGAAGUCUGUAGAUACAUUAUACACAUAUCAUAUUAUUAUUAUGUAUAUAUAUUCAACAAUGUGACUAUCUGUCUCUGAAUUGAUAAAUCCACGCACAGUAAAUAAUUUAAUCGCCAUAAUUAGAUAUCAUUAUGUGAUCUUGAAGCGCAGCUGUCGAAAUAACAGCAUGCACAAUGGUAGCUAUUCAUUCUUUCUUCUUAUUUGAGGCUCCCGUCUUUAGGUGCACAUUGGCUACCCUAUCUGGUAAUACACUGUGUGGUCCUUCCACUCUCGAAGUACUUAAGCUAGCUUCUCCAUCAUAGUUCACUGAAAGAACUGCUGUGCUCCUUGUCCCAUAGAGCCCCUUUGCAAAAACAGAAUCAUGUGAAAAAAUGUAAAUAAUAUAGCAUUGCUGUCUCGAUAUAGGGUUCUGUACUAGAACACCUACGUGUUAUUUUAGUGGUUAAUAGGAAUAAUUUUCAGAUAAUUCAACUCUGAAUGUACUUGUAAACUGAAAUAAGUCAAUGAUUUUAUGCUCACUUUGUCAGUUUGCACCUCGAUGAAGAUGGAGCUCAGACCGUGCUCCCAGUUGGGAUCACAACCGGUGUUCGGCAGCCUAUCUUUAUCAGCCUCGUGGUGUUAGUCAUUAGUCUGUCAGCUAUAUCCUUUGUUUCAACUUCAUCUUCACCAUGCUUCCUUAUAAACUCCCUGAAGUUUUUACCGAGGCGAAUUGCCUACAAGCAAUAUAUGCAAUGAUGAAAAAUUGCCUGCACUGCAUUCCUUGGGCAGAUUCUUAUAGUAUACUGAAUGGUCCCUAAGACAGAGUGGCUUGCAAUCAUGUGCUAUACUGCUAUCUACUGUCUUGCUCUUGUACAUGCAGGCUAUUAAUUGAGUUAAAUGCACUGCCCUCUAUAACCAGGGAAGUUCUUGAAAUGGCUUUCAUGUUGCUUUCUCACAUCUUUUCCAGCUCAAAAGUCUCCUUCAGGAUUCUCAGUGCAGUACAAGUAAAAUCAACAAAGGACACCUCAUUGGAUAUUCAACAUUUUUAGCUUGCUACUGAUGUUCUUCCAGUAUUUUAUCAAACAACAGCAUCAUGUGCACUUAUAUUUCUGUGGCACUCUGGGAGUUCUAUCAAUUUGUAAGGUGUCCAUUGGACAUGGAGUAGUUCUGUUACCUUCUGCCAAGGGCUGUCUAGCCUUGCAUUGGACAACAUAUGGAGUCCUGGUGAGACGAGCUGAAUCAUCGCAGGUUGCCCCUUUGGCCGGUUUGACGCAUAGACCAUGACAUUCCUCGUUAGAUCAGCUAGUAUAAGGUUGAAUCCAUUGUACUCAUCAGCUUCUUUUGCCACUUGAGUUGCAACCUCCAGUGGGCUCUUGUUGCCCUGUACAAUACAGAUUCUGUGGAUCAUGCUCAUGCUCUCUAUUUCAUUCAACACACAUCCUAUGGAUAAUCCUGUGCAUGCUUUUGUUUUUGAGGGGCCGAUGGCAGUUUA